rnacentral:rRNA from 1 species
GAACGAACGCUGGCGGCAGGUCUUAGGCAUGCAAGUCGAACGGAUGACAAGGGAGCUUGCUUCCUUGAAGUCAGUGGCGCACGAGUGAGUAACGCGUGGGAAACUGCCCUUCACUGGGGAAUAACGUUUGGAAACGAACGCUAAUACCGCAUACGCCCGCAAGGGGAAAGAUUUAUCGGUGAUGGAUGUGCCCGCGUUGGAUUAGCCAGUUGGUGGGGUAAUGGCCUACCAAAGCAAUGAUCCAUAGCUGGUCUGAGAGGACGAUCAGCCACGCUGGAACUGAGACACGGUCCAGACUCCUACGGGAGGCAGCAGCUAAGAAUAUUGGGCAAUGGAGGAAACUCUGACCCAGCCCAUGCCGCGUGAAUGAAGAAGGCCUUCGGGUUGUAAAGUUCUUUUAGUCAUGAAGAUGAUGACAGUAGUGACAGAAAAAGCACCGGCUAACUUCGUGCCAGCCGCGGC